rnacentral:rRNA from 1 species
AGCGAACGCUGGCGGCAGGCUUAACACAUGCAAGUCGAGCGGGCACUCUCGGGUCUCGGCGGCGUACUGUUGAGUACCGCGUGGUAACUUGCCCUCUGGUUCGCAAUCACUCAGGCUAACUUGACCUCAUACCGGCUACGCCCUUUUGGGGAAAUGCUUUAUGCCGUAGGAUUGGACCGCGUCUGAUUAGCUAGUUGGUGCGUUAACGGGUAACCAAGGUGGCAAUCAGUAUUUGGUAUGAGAGGAUUACCAGACACACUGAGACUAAGACACGGUCCAGACUCCUACGGAAUGCAGCAGUGGCGAAUAUUGCAAAAUGGGCGCAAUCCUGAUCCAGCCAUGACCCGUAAGUGAUGAAAUCAUUAAAGUAGUAAAGCUCUUUUAUCCGGGACCAUAAUGACGGUACCGAAGGAAUAAGCCCCGGCUAACUUCGUG